AUUGAACGCUGGCGGCAGGCUUAACACAUGCAAGUCGAGCGAGCGGCGGACGGGUGAGUACUGUCUGGGAAACUGCCUGAUGGAGGGGGAUAACUACUGGAAACGGUAGCUAAUACCGCAUACCAUCAGAUGUGCCCAGAUGGGAUUAGCUAGUAGGUGGGGUAAUGGCUCACCUAGGCGACGAUCCCUAGCUGGUCUGAGAGGGUGACCAGCCAGACUGGAACUGAGAAACGGGCCAGACUCCUAAGGGGGGCAGCAGUGGGAAAUAUUGCACGAGGGGCGAAAGCCUAAUGCAGCCAAGCGGCGGAUGUGAAGAAGGCCUGAGGGUGGGAAAGCACUGUCAGCAAUGAGGCGUUACUCGCAGAAAAAGCACCGGCUAACUCCGUGCCAGCAGCCGCGGUAAUAC
rnacentral:rRNA from 1 species